AUGAUUGCUCUUAUCGGUAUGGCUCCUACCGAGGAGGAGGGAGAAGAGAAGAAGAAGAGGGAAAGGAAGGCAGCUGGAGCUGCUUUCACGUGGAUUCAAAAUAACUUUGCGACGUGCCCUCCGGAUGCAACUGAUGAUGUGAUCCAGACACAUGCUCGUGUGUAUAUGUGGUACAUUGUGUCGAGGACUUUGUUUCCUGACUCCACUGGCAAGAACGCUCCAUGGAUGUGGCUGAAGGCGUUGACCGUCUUCGAUAGCAAAUGGAGCUGGGGUUCAGCGACUCUUGCCUACUUGUACCGACAGGUAGUUGGUCUGUUUUGUGAUCAACUCAUUUAUUCAUUAGCAAUGCAAGCUUGCUGUCAAGUUAACAUUGUUUUUCUUUCAUAUGUAGCUGGAUGA
rnacentral:rRNA from 1 species